CCAUUUGGAACCUGGCUGUGAGCAAGAAAACAUCUGUGGUUGGAAAGCGGGGGUGGUGAUUCAGGGCUGUUUGGGACUUGGAGAGGAUGCUCUUGAACUCUUUACUCAACAAACAGCUCCCUCCCACAAGGAGGCGAGAAGUCAUCUGUCUGUCUGCUUUGACACUUUCACCCAGUGACCUUCAGGGCUUCAGGCACCUUCCCCGUAAGAUGGAGUGAGCUUGGCACACACUGUCAUGGAUUUGCCCAUCACUGACUCAUUAAAGGUCUGAGUGAGAGGUGAAGGCAAAAGCAGACAAACAGGCACUGAGACUCUGCCUUCCCAGACCUGUGUCCUGUAAACAGGCUGACUGCUUCACAGCCAAGGCAUGAGCCUGGACGUGGGUUGGAAUUGGAGCCUUGACAGAUAAUAUCCAGAGCCUUUGACUGUGGCUACUGUGUUCAGAUGGGCUAUGGUGCCCACAACCAGAGCAUAGGGGAGAGGCAGGAUGGUAGGGAAAUUAUGUAGCCUGGGAACCGGAUACAAUUGCUCUCUGCCACUUACUUAGCUUUGUGACCUUGGAUAAAAGUGGCUUAUUCUUUCUCGGGCUCAGUUUCCCCAUCUGUGAAACUGGCAUAACGCUAUGGACCUAGAAUGCUUUAGGACAGUGUAACACACAGUCAUACAAGGUAUAUCCCACCCCCCCGCCCCGCCCCGCCCCGCCCCGCCCCGCCCCAUUCCUUCUACAUGGAGGAGAGGAAUAUGAUAUUUAAUCAAGUUAACUGGUAUAAAUAAGAGUCAAUAGCCACCAUCUCUUGAGCUUUUCUUACAAGCCAUUUAGUCCUUGUAGCAACUGUAAGACAGAGAGCUUUCUUUCCAUGUGAUUAUUUGGUCGAAGAUUGUGGGAAUUCUAGGUUCAUGGAAUACAGCAAAUGGGAAAAGCUGUCACUCACUUCGUGCCUUGUUUGGAAGAAGUUGGCUAUUUUAGAGGCAGCCAACUCAAAAUGAGGCAGAGGAGCCAGCGCCUGGCAUGCAUUGUUCGCUUCUGUGAGUGCUCUGGGGAAACCCUGCCAGUAGUUAUCAUGAUGGAGUUUCUUCUCCGUGCCAGGCGCCAGGAGGAGUGACGGCACACAGCACCUUGUUACAUCCUUGUGAUAACUUUGGCUCGGCAGCAUCCUUCCCAUUUUCAGAAGAGGAAACUGAGGGUGAGAUGACACUACCUGCCCAGAGGCAAGGAAUGGUGGCGCAGGGCUAGGUUCAUGCAUUUUCAAAACUCAGGACGAGAAUUUAAAUAGGGAAACCAUGCAUUUUUCAAAACUGGGAAGGGGAUUGGACAGUCAAACAAAGGAAAACCUCAUUAACGGGCUUUCAGAAUGUAUUCCUUAGGUUUCCAAGGGGACGUAGGCUAGGGAGGAUGGGCAAAGUUAGUCAGAUAUGGGGCAAGGGAUGAGCUUGGACAUGCUCGUUUCCUGUUUUUCACGUUCAGAGCCAUCUCACUCCUCAACUUCCCUGCUUCAGCAGAGGCUGGAUGAGCUCACUGUGGACCAAGAGUGGCUAUUACUGGAAGAAACUUUGUCCCCCUCCAGCCUUUAGCCAGCCAGUGCUAAUGGCAGAGCAAGCCUCUUCUGACAGCCUGGCGUGUGGCCCGGGCAGCCCACUGACCUGUAGGGAGCUUUGCCACUGGGUUUCCAGGCUGGGCUCUGCUUCCCUCAAGAGCCUGGUUGGGAAGCUCAGGGCCCUUUGUAGGACAAAAGGAACUGUACUGAGGGUUAGUGUCACAGGGAAGUGCUGGCAUUUUGUUAAUGAAAUAAGCAGGGAAGAGUUGGUUAUCCCAAAUAAUUAGGCUGCCCUAUUCACUCUCCCUUUGGGACCAGAGUGAAGCGAAUGUAAAUUGAAUGUAGACUAAGAUCCUCACUCCCCCAUUGGUUAACUCAGUGGUUAUUUUGUCAAGCAAACUCUCCAAGUUUCAGAGGUCUUCAUUGGCUAAGUGGGACAUUCAAAUGAGAUAUACACGUACUGUCUUGGUAUGGGUCUUGACUCCGAAUGUGUGUGUGUUCAUCCACUAACUAAAGUGAUGAUUUCAUUUUGCUUCAUGAAGGUUACUUGAGUAUGAACAUUUUAUACUCGCUUAGGUUCAUUACAACAUUCCCCAUUGUCAGGUAUAGAAAUCCAGCUUAAGACUAACCUAAACAUAAAGGGACAAAAAAAAAAAAAUGAAAUUUUAGGAACCUGGCAAGUCCAAGGAGGACCUACCUUCCAGUACAGCUGGACUCAGGAGUUCCAACAGUGACACCAGGGCCCAACUUCUCUUCACCCCUUAGCUAAGUCUCCUUCUGGAUAUUGGCUCUGCCUAUGGACAGUCUCUGGCCACCUACAGUUCCAGAUCCAUAUUUUUCCAGCUUGUUAAUUUCCAAUGUCCAUUUAUCUUCCAAUGUCCAGGCAAGACUUUGAUUGGCCUCACUUAGAAGAGACAACUGCACCUGGACCAAUCACUGUUGCUAAAGGCCCAGAGCACUGGGAUGGCUGGAGUCACGUGACCUACCCCGGGGUCCAGAAAGGGAUGCUGGUAGGUGUGAAGAUUGUUAGUUCUGCUAGGAUGACACAGAAUGAAGAAGGGAGUUAUCCAAAGGCACUAAGGGUGAUGGACAGACAAAAACAAAGGGUACCUACCCCAUUUAACAGCCUGAGAAAAGGAAAGUACUUGCUCCGGAUUCUUCCACAGCCCUCCCACUGAGUCAGUGCCAGUCCUAGGAUAGUUGUUCCAAAAAUCAUCAAGGCGAACUCUGUUGGCUUAGAGAGAAACACAGCUUCCAAGCAAAGUAAAAUAACUUGCAGAAGAGGGAAGAGUUGCACUCAACUAUGUGAAUCUGAAGUAAGUAGACUCCCCAGGCCAUGUCUGUCACUUUGGCUUAGCACAGAUGGGACUCAGGACAAAAUGUCACUCAACCAGCUGGGUGUUGUAUGGACGUCCCCUGCUCUGCUUGCUUUGAGUUCAAUGCUGUGCACAUCAGGAUAUGUGGUAAAUGGGACGUUUUCUCUGGGUAUUUUCAGGUGCCUCCUUUAAUUUUUUUGCCUCGAUUUUCCAAGACAACAACAGUCAGACACCCAAAGCCAAGCUAAUAUCACAUUCAUGAUUCUUGGGCUCUAGAUGCUUUAAACCUGCUUGGUCUUUCUUGGCAGAUACUCAUAUACUGUGUUAGCUUGAAGUUAAGGUGGUUAGGAUUCGCCUUUGUAAACUGAUAAGGCGAAAGCCACUUCAUUUCUCUUUCUACCCUUGUCAGUCCUUUGUGGUGGUAGGACCCACGGUCUUCCUUCCCAGCUUUUUCCCAGUAGUUAUUUCAUUUGUUUCACAAAUACUUGCUGAACACCUGUUUUGUGUAACAGGCUGAGUUAGGAGACGAGGCCCACACAUGUCCACCAGAUGUAGGCUGUCCUUCAUCCUCUUACUCUGCUUCUUCCAGUGUCUCCCUGUUUCUACCCUUGCCAGUGAGGAAAAGACUUCCAGAACCUCUUUACUCAAGAUUUGUAAUGGGAGACGGAGGAGGAAGAUUGCUUUGCACAUCUUGGAGCCAAUAAUUUACAGCGUUCUCCUGAAAUAUUUUUAUUCCUCAAAGUUGGUUCUGGGACAUGGUCACGUGCCCCCAGUCAUGGUUUCCUGCUUUCCCCUUUCCCCAGCUUUGUCGACCCCAGUUUCCGCCAUCUCGUACCCCCUCCCCUCCCCCACUCCCAUGAGUUCAGCCUCUCUCUUUCCCGGAACAGUUGUCUCUGCCUUAGCUUGUUUGACCUUCACUCUUGUAGAUGUAAAUAGCAUUGUGCUGCCUAGAAGACUAAAGGACCUUCCAGUUUCAGGAUGUACUCCUCUUAUAAACGAAUGUUAAUCUGUUAGUUAUCAGGCCCCAUUUAGAACCCAGGGGCUAUGGCAGUAUUUCUCAAAGGUGAACUGAGACUCAGCCCUCAGAUACUGGUUAAGUAUUAAAAUUCCUGGACCCUACUCCAGAUAAUCAGAAUCAGAGUCUCUUUGGAGAAAAGCAGUGGUUCUCAACUCUGCAUAGAGGGAAGACUUGGAGAACAUUUUUUAAAAGGCUCCCCAAGGGAUCCAGACAUGCAGCCAGGAUUUCCAAUCAUUGGAGUAGAAGUACCUGCAUUGUUUGCAAGCAACUCGAGUGACUCAUUUGUGGGCUGAGGUUUGCAUUGUGGGAAUUCAGAGAAGGAAAGAUAAUUUCCCCUGAUGGAGUUAGAGGAGGGAGGAGGGAGAAAAACAAAACAAAACAAAACAAAAAAAAAAACUUCCUAGAAGAGGGGAGUGCUAUUUGAGGUGGACCUGGGAGAAUAGGUGGGUUUUUAUCAGUUGUGGGCAAAGGGGGAAGUCAGUUUAAAUCACCCAUUUAAACUCCUGGUUAUUUAAAACAGAACUAAUGGCAGCCCAGUUUUGAGUAUAGAUCCAACUCUCAAUCAGCACAGUCGUUUGCACAAAAGCCUUUAUAUUGCCUACCUCUUUGACCAACAGAAGCCCCUUCUCUGCCCUCCCAAGUGGAUGAGCAGCUGCUUCCAGAUAUAGUCAGUAAGGGUCAAUGAUUUUUCUAAACGUUCUGCCCCACUGAUGCUACAAGUCAUGAAAAUAUUCCAGAAAUGUCAGUGUUUAAACAUACAAAUUCCAUCUCCAGGAUUACCUCUAACACGUGAAAGUGGCACAAUAUUUGUUGACAACCACCUGUUUCAACUGGGGGUUUAAACAAUAAAGCCUCUAUUUCCUAGAGGGCUUGAAUACCACCAGCUCUCCUCAGAAGGUGCUGGGGCGGGAGUAUGUAGGAGUGUCAGCCAACACGAUAACAAUCAGUCAAUAAUGGAGAUGGGUCACCGAGUGCCUUCCUCACCUUAAUGCCUGUUUGCUUAACUAACGCCAGUGAGAGUCCUUAUUAAGGGCUGUUAACACUCCAAAAUGCUGUUUGUUGAGCGUGCCCAAGUGAUAAGUGAUGCUUGUGUUUACUCUCUUGUUCUCAGGGCUGCUGUAGAAGCCUAAGCACAGUUUUGAAGUGGUUCACUUUCCAUGAACAGACUAGUCAGUUCUACAAAUAAGUCAAUGGUUUGGGAACAGAAUCACGAGC
rnacentral:lncRNA from 1 species